rnacentral:tRNA from 1 species
AAGCAAUAAGUUAAGUAGACUUCUGCCGUUCAAAGGCAGCAGUGAAAAUUUUUCUUGCUUUAA